rfam:Curtobacterium sp. Leaf183 contig_6, whole genome shotgun sequence.
UCUGAUCCGCGGAUCGGGACUCCCAGCCGUCUGCCCUGAUGCACCUUCCCCGGUGUCAGGUCGGUAUGGAUGGGGAUCCGGGUCAGCGGCCCAGGGGAU